rnacentral:lncRNA from 1 species
UCUUUCACAUGGACUAUGUGACAUCUCUAAAAAGCCAUCAGAUUCAAAUUAUUUCUUUAAUUAGCUAUAUUUUUAUCCUCUUCAAUCUUCAUCUCCUCUGUUGGGUCGAGGUAUUAAAGUUGUUGGAACAUUUUUGUUGCCAACUUCUAAUGGAUGGUGUUUAUUUUCUGUGACUUAGAGAUGACAAUAACAUAUUUAGUGGAAUUCUAUCCACUACAGGUGGGGAACGUAGAUCAUAUUUUACCUCUCAUAGAGGUAAGGAGAUUGUUUCGAGAAAUUAAUUGAACAAAGUCUUGGUUGGAUUGGAAAAACUUCAAACGAUCGACUACUCAACUCCUAUAUAAAUCAUUGAAUAGGUACCAUAGAAGUUGAGAAUCAAGAGAUAUGCUAUAACGAACGAACCUAUUCCUAUCAAGUUUUUAUCAUUAUUAUUGUUUUUGAGUUGUAAAUUGUAAUAGUUAGAUUCUUGUAGCUCCAAAAUAACAUCUUAAUUACUACUAUAUUUUUAAUUAAUUGUAUUAGGUGUUGUUUUGUGUUAUGGGGAGACUUUAUUGACGAGGUAAAGUCAAUGAAGAAUUGAGAGCGAUCAACAAUUAACGAGAGUUGUUGAGGGUAAAUAUAAUGUAGAGGUUGUAGGAGGCAGAUCCUAAGGUGUACAAAUGAGUUGUAAUUUUAAAUUGUUCGUUCAAUAGCGAUGAGGAAACUUUUAUUAGAGAUUAUAGUUUGUCGUUUUGCACUUUUUUAAGCAAGGAG